AGCGAUGAAACACCUUCGGGUGUGAAUUAGCGGCGAACGGGUGAGGAACACGUGAAGAAUCUACCUUUCGGUUGGGGAUAACUUCUGGAAACGGGAGCUAAUACCCAAUAUGCUGUGGAGUGAAAGAAUUUCGCCGAAAGACGAUCUUGCGUCUGAUUAGCUAGUUGGGGUGGUAAUGGCACACCAAGGCGACGAUCAGUAGCUGGUCUGAGAGGAUGGACAGCCACAUUGGGACUGAGACACGGCCCAGACUCC
rnacentral:rRNA from 1 species